CAGUAGCCACGGGAAUACGAAGGGUGCAAGCGUUACUCGGAAUUACUGGGCGUAAAGCGUGUGUAGGUGGUUGUUUAAGUCUGUCGUGAAAGCCCUGGGCUCAACCUGGGAAUUGCGAUGGAUACUGGGCGACUAGAGUGCGGUAGAGGAUAGUGGAAUUUCCGGUGUAGCAGUGAAAUGCGUAGAGAUGUGGAGGAACACCAGUGGCGAAGGCGACUCUCUGGUCUGUAACUGACGCUGAGGAGCGAAAGCGUGGGGAGCGAACAGGAUUAGAUACCCCUGUAGUCCCUGUCUCUUAUAC
rnacentral:rRNA from 1 species